rnacentral:rRNA from 1 species
GCACUCACUACUACGAACUGAGUCAGUCGUUCAGUCGAUGCAGUCAUUCUAUCAGUUGCAGUAAGCCUGAGUGACCUUGCUGAUGCGUACGCUUUCGCGAGUUACUGAUCCAACGACUACGUCAGCUAUCCAUUCGACGUGUGAGUUUGCGACAGACUCUACUGACAAAGUAACGUUCAAAGCAGGCGUUGCUCGAAUUAUUAGCAAUGAUAAUAGCAUAGACGUUAUGUUCUUAUUGAUAGUUCUAGGACCAUCGUAAUGACUAUAAGGGACGUCGGGACAUUCAGUAUUCAGUGUCAGAGGUGAAAUCUUGGAUUUACUGAAGAUUACUACUGGGAAGCAUUGGUCAAGGACGUUUUCAUAAUCAAGAACGAAAGUUAGGGGAUCGGAGAUGAUCAGAAUACGUCGUAGUUUAACCCUUAAACUAUCCGAUUAGGGAUUGGGAGUUGAUUUUUUUUGACGCCAUUGGCACCUUUCGAAAAAUUAAAGUUCUUGGGUUUUGGGGGGAGGAAUGUUGCCAGGCUGAAAAUUUAAGGGAUUGGAGGGAAGGCAACAACCAGAGUGGGACCUGCGGGUUAAUUUGAAUUAACCCGGGGGAAAUUCCCCGGUCCCGGCACCAUAAGGAUUGACCGGAUGAGAAGUUUUUUUUGAUUUUGUGGGGGGUGGGGCCAGGCCGUUUUUAAGUGGUGGAAGGAAUUGUUUGGUUAAAUGGGGUUACGAACGGGGCCUUAACCUUAUAAAUAGGGGUGGUUGGUUUUGGUGGUAUUGUCCAUUUUUAGAGGGGAUAUUGGUUUCAAAGUGGAGGAAGUUUGAGGCAAUAACCGGUUUGGGAUGCCCUUAGGCGUUUUGGGCCGCCCCCCCGGUUCCACGGCGGAACCAAGGGGUUUUUACCUUGGCCGGGGGGUUUGGGAAAUUUUGGGGAAAUUCGUUGGGGUGGGGAUAGGACCUUGUAAAUAAUGGUUUUUAACGGGGAAUUUCUUGUUAAGGCAAGUUAUUAGGCUGGGGUGGAUAAGUUCCUGGCCUUUGUUCCCCCCGGCCGUUGGUUAUUCCGGAUGAAAGGGUUAGUGAGGCCUUCGGAAUGGUUUAAAGAAGGGGGCAACUUCAUUUUGGAACCGAAAAAGUGGUCCAAACUGGCCUUAGAAGAAGUUAUCGUCGUUCCAGCUU